GGGGACUCGGACGGACUCCCUCACUGCACAGAUGAGGACGCGGAGGCCGGGGGAGGUGAGUGUCAGUCCCAAGGUUGCAGACCUAGGACAGGGACCGGAGCUGCCGGGCACCCAGAACUCUGUCGCCUUCAACCCAAAUUCGAUUCAGUCCUCUCAUCUUUCCAAAUAGAAAGCUGACGCGAACCGAUGGGAAGAUUUUUUUUUUCAAUAACAACUAUGCUACCCAGCAGAUUCUUUGGGGACAGUCCUCGGAGUCCUUGAAAACCCCUUUGGGGUUUAUGCCAGGAUAAGAAGAGACUAGAAGAAAGGGACAGCUAGUAUUUUAAUAUGUAAAUCUGUUUGCAUAAUAUUUCCUAGGUAAACUAUUCGUUGAUCCAACCAAAAUUCGGCGGGGCUGGGGGGUAUCGUUAUUGAGGAUGACUCGCUCUAGGGGAGAACGCGGACGCAUUUUCCCAUCAGAGUUCCCUCCAUAAAUCAAAACCUCAAAAGAAGAGUUAAAGACGACACCCAGGUGUCUACAGUAUCCAAGGGCCGGGCCAGGAGAGGUCCUUGGCCACCUGGCGCCGAGUUCGCGGCCGCAGACUCCCACGGACGGCCCAGCACCCGAGCGCGCGGGCCGAGCUGCCCCAGACCCGGCGCAGCGCCUCGGCGAGGCCGUCUGCGAAGUCCGGGCCGCCACUCGGGACCGCGGCCCGAGCCAGAGGAGAGACUUCGGAGAAGAGGGAAGAGGACGCGGGGUGGGAAACGCCGGGGCCGCAGGAUGCUCAGGACCCAGUCAGCGGCGGGAUCAAGAAAAACAGGCAGGGUUUCAAUGUCAACCAAGGCAAUUAGGGAGGUUAACAAACAGCCUUCAAAACAAAACACACAGAAAAUACAUCCCAGAGGAUGUUGCGAAUCAUCCGCUCAAUAGUUCUUGUUCUUCAUCGCAUAAUUUUUCGAGUUGAAAAUUAUUAUUAUUUUCUUUGCAAUAAGUUGAGGAUUGGAAAGCUCUGGAUGCCAGUUCUGGUUCUUCCCUUACUUAACUAGCCGUUUGACCUCCACAAACCUCUGUUUACUCAUCGUAAAGGAAAGGGAUGGACCAAAUGGUUCAUAAUGUCUCUCCCAAUUCUAGGAAUUCCACGCUCUUAAUUAUUUUAAUUAUUUUCUAAUAAAGCAUGAAAAUUG
rnacentral:lncRNA from 1 species